rnacentral:rRNA from 1 species
AGGUCAAGCUACAAAGGGCGCAUGGUGAAUGCCUUGGCACUAGGAGCCGAAGAAGGACGCGAUAAGCUGCGAUAAGCCUUGGGUAGCCGCAAAUAGGCUGAGAUCCAGGGAUUUCCGAAUGAGG